rnacentral:rRNA from 1 species
AGGACGAACGCUGGCGGCGUGCUUAACACAUGCAAGUCGAACGAGGUGCUUGCACCUAGUGGCGAACGGGUGAGUAACACGUGAGCAACCUGCCCUUGGCUCUGGGAUAGCCUCCGGAAACGGGGAUUAAUACCGGACAUGACCUUCUCCUGCAUGGGGGAGGGUGGAAAGUUUUUCGGCCAGGGAGGGCUCGCGGCCUAUCAGCUUGUUGGGGGGGUAACGGCCCACCAAGGCGACGACGGGUAGCCGGCCUGAGAGGGCGACCGGCCACACUGGGACUGAGACACGGCCCAGACUCCUACGGGAGGCAGCAGUGGGGAAUAUUGCACAAUGGGGGAAACCCUGAUGCAGCGACGCCGCGUGCGGGAUGAAGGCCUUCGGGUUGUAAACCGCUUUCAGCAGGGGCGAAUCAAGACGGUACCUGCAGAAGAAGCGCCGGCUAACUACGUGCCAGCAGCCGC